UACAGAGGGUGCAAGCGUUAAUCGGAAUUACUGAGCGUAAAGCGUGCGUAGACGGUUAUGUAAGUCAGAUGUGAAAGCCCCGGGCUCAACCUGGGAAUUGCAUUUGAGACUGCAUAGCUAGGGUGCGGAAGAGGGAAGCGGAAUUUCCGGUGUAGCGGUGAAAUGCGUAGAUAUCGGAAGGAACACCAGUGGCGAAAGCGGCUUCCUGGUCCAGCACCGACGUUCAGGCACGAAAGCGUGGGGAGCAAACAGG
rnacentral:rRNA from 1 species